rnacentral:rRNA from 1 species
GAUGAACGCUGGCGGCGUGCCUAAUACAUGCAAGUCGAGCGAACAGACGAGGAGCUUGCUCCUCUGACGUUAGCGGCGGACGGGUGAGUAACACGUGGAUAACCUACCUAUAAGACUGGGAUAACUUCGGGAAACCGGAGCUAAUACCGGAUAAUAUAUUGAACCGCAUGGUUCAAUAGUGAAAGACGGUUUUGCUGUCACUUAUAGAUGGAUCCGCGCCGCAUUAGCUAGUUGGUAAGGUAACGGCUUACCAAGGCAACGAUGCGUAGCCGACCUGAGAGGGUGAUCGGCCACACUGGAACUGAGACACGGUCCAGACUCCUACGGGAGGCAGCAGUAGGGAAUCUUCCGCAAUGGGCGAAAGCCUGACGGAGCAACGCCGCGUGAGUGAUGAAGGUCUUCGGAUCGUAAAACUCUGCUAUUAGGGAAGAACAAAUGUGUAAGUAACUAUGCAGGUCUUGACGGUACCUAAUCAGAAAGCCACGGCUAACUACGUG